AAUGAACGCUGGCGGCAGGCCUAACACAUGCAAGUCGAACGGGUCCUUCGGGACUAGUGGCGGACGGGUGAGUAACGCGUGGGAACAUGCCCUUUGGUACGGAAUAGCCUCGGGAAACUGGGAGUAAUACCGUAUGUGGUCGAGAGACGAAAGAUUUAUCGCCAAAGGAUUGGCCCGCGUUGGAUUAGGUAGUUGGUGGGGUAAUGGCCUACCAAGCCGACGAUCCAUAGCUGGUUUGAGAGGAUGAUCAGCCACACUGGGACUGAGACACGGCCCAGACUCCUACGGGAGGCAGCAGUGGGGAAUCUUAGACAAUGGGGGAAACCCUGAUCUAGCCAUGCCGCGUGAUCGAUGAAGGCCUUAGGGUUGUAAAGAUCUUUCAGGUGGGAAGAUAAUGACUGUACCACCAGAAGAAGCCCCGGCUAACUCCGUGCCAGCCGCCGCAGUAA
rnacentral:rRNA from 1 species